rnacentral:rRNA from 1 species
GACGAACGCUGGCGGCGUGCCUAAUACAUGCAAGUUGAGCGCUGAAGGUUGGUACUUGUACCAACUGGAUGAGCAGCGAACGGGUGAGUAACGCGUGGGGAAUCUGCCUUUGGGCGGGGGACAACAUUUGGAAACGAAUGCUAAUACCGCAUAAAAACUUUAAACACAAGUUUUAAGUUUGAAAGAUGCAAUUGCAUCACUCAAAGAUGAUCCCGCGUUUUAUUAGCUAGUUGGUGAGGUAAAGGCUCACCAAGGCGAUGAUACAUAGCCGACCUGAGAGGGUGAUCCGCCACAUUGGGAAUGGGACCACGCCCCAACUCCCACGGGAGGCAGCAGUAGGGAAUCUUUGGCCAUGGACGAAAGGCUGACCGAGCAACGCCGCGUGAGUGAAGAAGGUUUUCGGAUCGUAAAACUCUGUUGGUAGAGAAGAAAGCUGGUGAGAGUGGAAAGCUCAUCAAGUGACGGUAACUACACAGAAAGCGACGGCUAACUACGUG